UUUGUUAAGAAUCCAUGGCUAUGUAGGAUUUUGGGUUCGCACUAUGCAAUUUGUGGGUUGUACAGGUUUAGACCGUGAGGUCAGUAAGUUGGUCCGCAAACAUGCAAACCGGCUUACAACUAAAAUAAAAAAUUUAAAACCCUCAUACUCCAACCACCAAUAAAGCUCAACCAAUUAAUCCUAAAAGCACAACACACUCAACACCGCAAAACAAAACGGCACAGCACAACAAGCAUCUGACGGUUCUUCUCCUCACCGUGUCUCUUCUAAUGUUUGUUUCCAACUUUUUUUUUAUUAGCAUAUGUAUUUGAAUGACUCUGUAAUGCUACAAGUGAUUAGAGUGACGCAAGUUAUGGCCUUUGUUGUGUUGUUUAUUAUUCAAUCUUAUCUAUUUUAAGUGUUCAUACUUUUUAUUUUGUCUAUACCAGUGCUAUUCGAUGAAAAAUAAUGCUGUCAAGAUGAUGGAGGAUGGCGUUUGUUGGUGUUAGCCAGCCUCUGAUUUGUUGAUAUAUUUGUUCUCAUUUAUCUGCUUAAAGAAGACACUUGGAGUCGAUAUAUGUACUUCACAGGCCUCUGAUUUGGGGGCUUCAUCGUGAUUCAGAAACUUGCUCUGAAUGUCAGUUUGCUGGUCAUGUUUAUCUCGCUCAUGAAUCAAAAACUUGCUGGUGCUGUUUGUUUUGCCCGGGAAGAUUCUUGGGCACAUAUGCAUUUUUACUAAUAAUUUCCAAUUCCUUUGUUGCAAAACAAAUAAAACACAUCAGACAUAUGAUAAAUUUAUGGACAAUCUAUGGAAGGUUAUUUCUGACUUAGUAAACCAAACAAGACAUACCGAGGUUGUUUUUGAUCAAGCAGAGCUUCAUUUUCUAAUGUUUUUUUUUUUGUUCAUAUACCUGUGUUCUUACUUUUUAUUGGUCAGUUGCACAAUUACCUUGCUACAUUUCACAGUUUAAUGGAUCACCUACUCAUAUUAAUGAUACCAAGGCAUGUGAUCUUAAUAAUUCUAGACAAAUGGGCCAUCUUUUGCUUUAUUACUCAAUAGCCAAAUGGAUUUAGAGUUUGGUAGCUUCAUGGCCAAUUUCUGGCUGUUUUAUUAUGGUGUUUAUGAUAUGACUUCAGUAGCAGAUUGUUCUGUCACUUGUGCUUUUUUUUCGUGGCCCAUGCAUGGACCAAGGCAUAGUGGUAUUCGAGAUAUUAAUAAAAGCUAUUGCUUGGCAGCUCAAGCAUUUGGAAUGACACAAGUCCUCAAAAUUUUGAUAAAGCCUCUUUGAAAUAGUUUGACGGUUUGACCAUUGCUGAUUUUCUGUUCAUAAUUCUAAUGUAAUAAAAUGUUUGGCUCAAUUCAAGUGGGCUUGUGCUUGUGCAUUGUCUAAAGUCAGUGCAACUCAUUAUUUUGCUCCUACAAUGUUUGUUGUCAUUACAGUCACUGCAACUCGAGAGGCUAAACUCUUUAUCAUGAUUCCAACAGGCUUCUUGGGAGAUAUAUCAAAUGUGGGAGGACAUUAGUCCAACAUGAAAGGAUUGAAGUUUAUUUUAGCUAGAUUUUGACCUGUGUGUUGCACGGAUUUAUUCUUUGUGGAGAAUUAAACGGUCUUCCUGCAAACAGUGAACUUACAAAUUAAAGCGACUCACGUUGCAUGGAAUGCAAAAACAAAAUUUAUUGAGAC
rnacentral:lncRNA from 1 species